rnacentral:lncRNA from 1 species
GUGUAUUCUCACAUAACAUAAACCAUUUUUUUAGUUUUAUGAACAUUAACUAUAAACAUUAUGAUAAUUAUUAAAUUUUGGUGUUUUCUUCAUAUGAAAAUACAAGUCACGUAUAGACAGACCAUAUGAUGUCUGCUGCAGACGUCAGUGCUACCUAGGCCAGAGGUGAACUUGUGGGCUGUCCUAUAUUCACUGAGGCUCCUCUGCUAUAUGUAUGAGCCAGCUUGGUUUCUGAUUUGUUUUUGUUUGUUAUCACUGUGACAAAUCAUCUGAGAUAAUUAAGUUACAAAGAGAAAAGGCUUAUUUUGGCUCAAAUUGAUGGAGGUUCUAGUCCACAAAGCCUGUGGUUGGACCUGUCAUGAGGUAGCAACUCCCGACAGGAGAAGACAGAAGAACAUAACUAGUGUGCUCAUUAGCCAAAUCACAAAGGUGAUUAAGAGACUUUAGCCCCACAGUGUUUCAAAGGCAGCCUUCAACAGACAUAGGAACUAUCCAUUGGCCUCCAUCUUCCAGAUGUUUCACCACCUCUCAAUAGCACUACAGAGGGGAUCAAGCUCUUAAUACAGGACCUUUGGGAGACAUGCCGGAAUCCAAACUAAAUAUCUAGUCAAUCUCAAAUCUGCUUUUCUGGUUUACCAUUAAGAAUUAUAAUGGACUUAAUUGCUGAAUUUGUAAAUGAUAGUUGCUAGAAAUACUGGUAAUACCAGAAAUCACAAAAAUUGGGUAAUUAAUUUUAGGCACAGAUAAUGGUUUGUUUCAUUCAUAUUCAACAAACAUUUUGAAAUUCACUUAAUAAGGCCCAACCAGAAUUUAGUGUAUUGGAUAUAUUUCAUUAAAAAAAAAUCAUCAUAGGGUCACUUAUAUCUUUUACUUUAAAAUUGUAUUAUUCAUAAGGUAAAUAUAUUCUAAUACCAUUUGUGUAUUGUAUACUAUAUGGUCAAGAAUACUAAGUUGUUGACAUAUUUAGAAAGCAUACACUUGAAUUUAAAUAUCUAAUGCCUCAAGCAAAUCUACUAGUUUCAGAAGAAUAUAUAUUUUUGUAACUGCAAGAAUAUGAGUAGAUCAGCUUUUGCUUAAAAUAUUUUUGUAAGCACUCAUUUACAUAAUACUCAUUUUUAAUAGUAAAAUUGAUUCUGUAGAAGUAACUGUUUUGACUAUGUCUAUAUUUAAUAUGAUAUAAUAUCCAAAAUUCAAUGAUAAAUUUCAUCUAAAUGUAUUGUUAGCCCUUUUUCCUUUGUAAAAUAGUCAUGUAACAUAGUUUCAGUCAUUCCAUAUUUGUGUAUGGUUAAAUUUGUUAAAGUUCAUUAUGUAUUUUGUAUCAUUCGUUUUAUCCCACAUAAAAGUUUGGAAAAGUAAUGUUAUCUGAUAAAUGUCAAAAAUAAUAAAGUGAAUUAUAGAGUGAGCUU